rnacentral:rRNA from 1 species
GAUGAACGCUGGCGGCGUGCCUAAUACAUGCAAGUCGAGCGAACGGACGAGAAGCUUGCUUCUCUGAUGUUAGCGGCGGACGGGUGAGUAACACGUGGAUAACCUACCUAUAAGACUGGGAUAACUUCGGGAAACCGUAGCUAAUACCGGAUAAUAUUUUGAACCGCAUGGUUCAAAAGUGAAAGACGGUCUUGCUGUCACUUAUAGAUGGAUCCGCGCUGCAUUAGCUAGUUGGUAAGGUAACGGCUUACCAAGGCAACGAUGCAUAGCCGACCUGAGAGGGUGAUCGGCCACACUGGAACUGAGACACGGUCCAGACUCCUACAGGAGGCAGCAGUAGGGAAUCUUCCGCAAUGGGCGAAAGCCUGACGGAGCAACGCCGCGUGAGUGAUGAAGGUCUUCGGAUCGUAAAACUCUGUUAUUAGGGAAGAACAUAUGUGUAAGUAACUGUGCACAUCUUGACGGUACCUAAUCAGAAAGCCACGGCUAACUACGUG